CCCCUUCGCAUGACCUAUAAAAAAAAAGAAGUUCGUGCUACUAUAAGGCCUCUAAACUCCUCCCUCAGGACACUAUUGCGUCGUGAAUUCUCCGAAUGUUCUUCAUCUGCCUUUUGUCCCGUAAAGUGGUUAUUCCAGAUGAUGCCCGCUGGUUCAUUCAAUGACCCCUACCGAUGAUGGGCCGUGAAAGCUAUUGUGCAUGCAUCUUCAAUUGUUAAGUCUAAUGGUUGCUCAAGACGAGCAUGAAUGGACUAGAGGAGGAGCAAAUGUUGAUUCAAAAUUUUUGGAGGAACUCAUGGCAUGCCUGCUCUUCCUAUCCCAGGGGCCAAGACCGUCUUCAAUAGCUGCGGAUUCUGGUUAAC
rnacentral:lncRNA from 1 species